AGAGUUUGAUCCUGGCUCAGGAUGAACGCUAGCGACAGGCCUAACACAUGCAAGUCGAGGGGCAGCGGAGAGGUAGCAAUACCUUUGCCGGCGACCGGCGCACGGGUGAGUAACACGUAUGCAAUCCACCUGUAACAGGGGGAUAACCCGGAGAAAUCCGGACUAAUACCCCAUAAUAUGGGCGUUCCGCAUGGAGAGCUCAUUAAAGAGAGCAAUUUUGGUUACAGACGAGCAUGCGCUCCAUUAGCCAGUUGGCGGGGUAACGGCCCACCAAAGCGACGAUGGAUAGGGGUUCUGAGAGGAAGGUCCCCCACAUUGGAACUGAGACACGGUCCAAACUCCUACGGGAGGCAGCAGUGAGGAAUAUUGGUCAAUGGUCGGCAGACUGAACCAGCCAAGUCGCGUGAGGGAAGACGGCCCUACGGGUUGUAAACCUCUUUUGUCGGAGAGUAAAGUACGCUACGCGUAGUGUAUUGCAAGUAUCCGAAGAAAAAGCAUCGGCUAACUCCGUGCCAGCAGCCGCGGUAAUACGGAGGAUGCAAGCGUUAUCCGGAUUUAUUGGGUUUAAAGGGUGCGUAGGCGGCACGCCAAGUCAGCGGUGAAAUUUCCGGGCUCAACCCGGACUGUGCCGUUGAAACUGGCGAGCUAGAGUACACAAGAGGCAGGCGGAAUGCGUGGUGUAGCGGUGAAAUGCAUAGAUAUCACGCAGAACCCCGAUUGCGAAGGCAGCCUGCUAGGGUGAAACAGACGCUGAGGCACGAAAGCGUGGGUAUCGAACAGGAUUAGAUACCCUGGUAGUCCACGCAGUAAACGAUGAAUACUAACUGUUUGCGAUACAAUGUAAGCGGUACAGCGAAAGCGUUAAGUAUUCCACCUGGGGAGUACGCCGGCAACGGUGAAACUCAAAGGAAUUGACGGGGGCCCGCACAAGCGGAGGAACAUGUG
rnacentral:rRNA from 1 species